rnacentral:rRNA from 1 species
UACGUAGGGCGCAAGCGUUAUCCGGAAUUAUUGGGCGUAAAGAGCUCGUAGGCGGUUUGUCGCGUCUGCCGUGAAAGUCCGGGGCUCAACUCCGGAUCUGCGGUGGGUACGGGCAGACUAGAGUGAUGUAGGGGAGACUGGAAUUCCUGGUGUAGCGGUGAAAUGCGCAGAUAUCAGGAGGAACACCGAUGGCGAAGGCAGGUCUCUGGGCAGUAACUGACGCUGAGGCUCGAAAGCGUGGGGAGCAAACAGG